rnacentral:rRNA from 1 species
AGAACGAACGCUGGCGGCAGGCUUAACACAUGCAAGUCGAACGCGUGUAGCAAUACACGAGUGGCGCACGGGUGAGUAACGCGUGGAUAUCUGCCUUUUGGUUCGGAAUAACCCCGGGAAACUGGGGCUAAUACCGGAUGGUUCCUACGGGAUAAAGAUUUAUCGCCAAAAGAUGAGUCCGCGUACGAUUAGCUAGUUGGUGAGGUAAUGGCUCACCAAGGCGACGAUCGUUAGCUGGUCUGAGAGGACGAUCAGCCACACUGGGACUGAGACACGGCCCAGACUCCUACGGGAGGCAGCAGUGGGGAAUAUUGGACAAUGGGGGCAACCCUGAUCCAGCCAUGCCGCGUGAGUGAUGAAGGCCUUCGGGUUGUAAAGCUCUUUUGGCGGGGACGAUGAUGACGGUACCCGCAGAAUAACGCCCCGGCUAACUUCGUGCCAGCAGCCGC